GAUGAACGCUGGCGGCGUGCUUAAUACAUGCAAGUCGAGCGAACGGACGAUACGCUUGCUUUUCUGAUGUUAGCGGCGGACGUGUGAGUCACACGUGUAUAACCUCCCUAUAAUACUGGUAUAAUUUCGGAAAACCGGCUCUAAUCCCGUAUAAUAUUUUGAUCCGCAUGGUUCAAUAGUGAAAGUCGGUCUUUCUGUCACUUAUAGAUGCAUCCGCGCUUCAUUAGCUAGUUGGUAAGGUAACGGCUUACCAAGGCAACGAUGCAUAGCCGACCUGAGAGGGGGAUCGGGCACACUGGAACUGAGAAACGGGCAAGAUGGCAACGGGAGGCAGCAGUAGGGAAUCAGCGGGGAUGGGCGAAAGAAUGACGGAGAAACGGCGGGUGAGUGAUGAAGGUCUGCGGAGCGUAAAACGCUGUUAUUAGGGAAGAACACAGGUGUAAGUAACUGUGAAGAGCGUGACGGGACAAAAGCAGAAAGACAAGGAGAAAUCCGUG
rnacentral:rRNA from 1 species